rnacentral:lncRNA from 1 species
AUAAAAAUAUUUAAUUUAAUCAUUCUAUAUUAAUUUAUUUAAAAUAUAUUUAGACAAAAAAUUUAAAGCUCUAUUAUUUGAUUUUUUAAAAUUAUAUUUAAUAUAAUUUAUAACUAAAUAAAAUUCAUUCACUUGCUCAGCUAAUCCACUGUUCUGUUUAAUUUAAUUUUAAGUUACAGAAAACCCCUGUUGUUUAGUACCCAAAAGGGAAACUAGUAACCAUAUGACAGUGAUGUGAUAAUUAAUUAUGGGUUGAUGACUGUACUUAAACUAGGAGCCUAGAGGUUUGACUGGUUGGGAGGCUGGGGAUCCACUGUUGACCGUGGCACAUCAUCUUGUGAUUUACACUAGAAAUUUCAAUUUUUUGUUAUAAAAUUGUUCUAGUGGUACUCAGAGCAAAAUAUCCAUAUUUUAGGCACGGUCAAAUGGUUAAAAAACUAAUUA